GUUUUGACUGUUGUGCAUUAUGGAGUAUUCAGUCUGCACUGUUAACUACGAAACAGGAGGUGUGGAGAGCUGGAGUGAUCACUCCGCCAUGCCGGUGGUUGUUGUAGUGGGCAUUGCGGUUUAGAGGCGGCAUACAAUUUAGCUAGUGAGGAUUAUAGAGGGUUUAGAGAGCUGAGUAGGGGGGAUUAAUAGAUAUGGUGACAAUACAGCCCAACUAGCGAAAGAGUCAUAGAAUCUGGAGUUAACAUACCGCUCAGACGGUGUGGGAUACGGUGUGUACACUGUGUACACUGCUUAGACAGUGCCGGUUAUAGACGAUGUGGGAUACGGUGUGUACACUGCUCAGACAGUGCAGGUUAUAGAAGGUGUUGGAUACAGUGUGUACACUGCUCAGACAGUGAAGGUCAUAGACGUUGUGGGAUACGGCGUGUACACUGCUCAGACAGUGCCGGUUAUAGACGAUGUGGGAUACGGUGUGUACACUGCUCAGACAGUGCACGUAAUAGACGGUGUGGGAUACAGUGUGUACACUGCUCAGACAGUGCAGGUUAUAGAAGGAGUUGGAUACAGUGUGUACACUACUCAGACAGUGCAGGUUAUAGACAGGGUGGGAUAUGGUGUGUACACUGCUCAGACAGUGCAGGUCAUAGACGGUGUGGGAUACGGUGUGUACACUUCUCAGACAGUGCAGGUUAUAGAAGGUGUUGGAUACAGUGUGUACACUGCUCAGACAGUGCAGGUCACAGACAGUGUGGGAUAUGGUGUGUACACUGUUCAGACAGUGCAGCUUAUAGAAGGUGUGGGAUACAGUGUGUACACUGCUCAGACAGUGCAGGUUAUAGAUGGUGUGGGAUACGGUGUGUACACUGCUCAGACAGUGCAGGUUAUAGAAGGUGUUGGAUACUGUGUGUACACUGUUCAGACAGUGCAGGUUAUAGAUGGUGUGGGAUACGGUGUGUACAGUGCUCAGACAGUGCAGGUUAUAGACAGUGUUGGAUACGGCGUGUUCACUGUUCAGACAGUGCAGGUUAUAUACGGUGUGGGAUACACUGCUCAGACAGUGCAGGUUAUAGAAGGUGUGGGAUACGGUGUGUACACUGCUCAGACAGUGCAGGUUAUAGAUGGUGUGGGAUACGGUGUGUACACUGCUCAGACAGUGCAGGUUAUAGAUGGUGUGGGAUACGGUGUGUACACUGCUCAUACAGUGCAGGUUAUAGAAGGUGCAGGUUAUAGAAGGUGUUGGAUACAGUGUGUACACUGCUCAGACAGUGCAGGUUAUAGAUGGCGUGGGAUACGGUGUGUACACUGCUCAGACAGUGCAGGUUAUAGAAGGUGUUGGAUACAGUGUGUACACUGCUCAGACAGUGCAGGUUAAACACGGUGUUGGAUACGGCGUGUUCACUGCUC